AUACGUAGGGAGCGAGCGUUGUCCGGAAUUACUGGGUGUAAAGGGAGCGUAGGCGGGAUCGCAAGUCAGAUGUGAAAUACAUGGCUUAACCCAUGGGCUGCAUUUGAAACUGUGGUUCUUGAGUGAAGUAGAGGUAAGCGGAAUUCCUGGUGUAGCGGUGAAAUGCGUAGAUGUCAGGAGGAACACCGGUGGCGAAGGCGGCUUACUGGGCUUUUACUGACGCUGAGGCUCGAAAGCGUGGGGAGCAAACAGGAUUAGAUACCCUGGUAGUCCACGCUGUAAACGAUGAUUACUAGGUGUGGGGGGACUGACCCCUUCCGUGCCGCAGUUAACACAAUAAGUAAUCCACCUGGGGAGUACGGCCGCAAGGUUGAAACUUAAAGGAAUUGGCGGGG
rnacentral:rRNA from 1 species